UGUGCUGUUCCGAUCUGACCGUUCUUCGGUCAAGGGUAUAUGAGUAGCUGCGCUCCCCUGCUAGAACCUCCAAACAAGCUCUCAAGGUCCAUUUGUAGGAGAACAUAGGGUAGUCAAGCUUCCAAGACUCCAGACUCAUCCAAAUGAGGCGCUG